rfam:Couchioplanes caeruleus subsp. caeruleus strain DSM 43634 Cont001, whole genome shotgun sequence.
CUUGACCGAGCCGAGGUAGAGCGGCUCGGUGCGGUUCUGCCCGUACGUGGCGAGCAGGGCCUGCGCCUC